rnacentral:rRNA from 1 species
GACGAACGCUGGCGGCGUGCUUAACACAUGCAAGUCGAACGGAAAGGCCCUGCUUUUGUGGGGUGCUCGAGUGGCGAACGGGUGAGUAACGCGUGAGUAACCUGCCCUUGACUUUGGGAUAACUUCAGGAAACUGGGGCUAAUACCGGAUAGGAGCUCCUGCUGCAUGGUGGGGGUUGGAAAGUUUCGGCGGUUGGGGAUGGACUCGCGGCUUAUCAGCUUGUUGGUGGGGUAGUGGCUUACCAAGGCUUUGACGGGUAGCCGGCCUGAGAGGGUGACCGGCCACAUGGGGACUGAGAUACGGCCCAGACGCCUACGGGAGGCAGCAGUGGGGAGUAUUGCACAAUGGGCGGAAGCCUGUUGCGACAACGCCGCGUGCGGGAUGACGGCCUUCGGGUUGUAAACCGCUUUCGCCUGAGACGAAGCGUGAGUGACGGUAAUGGGUAAAGAAGCACCGGCUAACUACGUG